AUGGCCCAUUCGUCUCUAUCAACCGUGUUGCUCUUGUGCCUGGCCAUGGCGGCGUCGGCGCAGUUGUCGCCGACGUUCUACCAAACGUCGUGCCCGAACGCUCUGUCCACUAUCAAGGCCGCCGUGACGGCUGCCGUCAACAAGGAGAACCGCAUGGGCGCGUCGCUGCUCCGGCUGCACUUCCACGACUGCUUCGUCCAAGGUUGUGACGCGUCUGUUCUGCUGUCUAGCAUGGAACAAAACGCUUUCCCGAACGUGAUGUCGCUGCGAGGCUUCGAAGUCAUCGACAGCAUCAAGGCGAAGCUCGAGACCAUGUGCAAGCAGACCGUCUCCUGCGCCGACAUCCUCACCGUCGCUGCCCGCGACUCUGUCGUCGCCUUAGGAGGGCCUUCGUGGACGGUUCCUCUUGGAAGGAGGGACUCCACCAAUGCAAACGAAGCCGCGGCGAACUCCGACCUACCUCCCCCAUUCUUUGACCUCGUUAACCUCACCCAAUCCUUCGGCGACAAAGGCUUCACCGUGACCGACAUGGUCGCCCUCUCGGGCGCUCACACCAUCGGGCAGGCGUAG
rnacentral:rRNA from 1 species